rnacentral:rRNA from 1 species
UGAGUACGAGAUGCUACGGCAUCGAAGCAGUCUAUGUCAUACUUCCAAGAAAAGCUUGCACUGUCAGAAACAGAUAAUGCCUGUACCAUAACCGACACAGGUGGGUAGGUAGAGUAUACUAAGGGGCGCGAGAUAACUCUCUCUAAGGAACUCGGCAAAAUGACUCCGUAACUUCGGGAGAAGGAGUGCCUUAUUUUUAAGGUUGCAAUAACAAGAUCCAAGCAACUGUUUACCAAAAACACAGGUCUCCGCUAAGUCGUAAGACGAUGUAUGGGGGCUGACGCCUGCCCAGUGCCAGAAGGUUAAAGAAGUCGGUUAGCAUUCGCGAAGCUGGUAACUGAAGCCCUGGUGAACGGCGGCCGUAACUAUAACGGUCCUAAGGUAGCGAAAUUCCUUGUCGGGUAAGUUCCGACCCGCACGAAAGGCGUAAUGAUUUGGAUACUGUCUCGGAGAGGGGCUCGGUGAAAUAGACUUGUCUGUGAAGAUGCGGACUACCUGCACCUGGACAGAAAGACCCUAUGAAGCUUUACUGUAACUUGAAAUUGAAAUUGGACUUUAUUUGCGCAGUAUAGGUGGGAGGCGUUGAAAAUAUUCUUGCGGGAAUAUUGGAGCCAUCAGUGAGAUACCACUCUUGUAAUGUUAGAUUUCUAACUUUAUAUCAUUAUCUGGUUAAAGAACAGUUUCAGGCGGGCAGUUUGACUGGGGCGGUCGCCUCCCAAAUGGUAACGGAGGCGCACAAAGGUUUCCUCUGAACGGGUAGAAAUCGUAUCUAGAGUGUAAAGGCAUAAGGAAGCUUGACUGUGAGACCUACAAGUCGAGCAGGGACGAAAGUCGGUCUUAGUGAUCUGACGGUGCUGAGUGGAAAGGCCGUCACUCAACGGAUAAAAGUUACUCUAGGAUAACAGGCUGAUCUCCCCCAAGAGUUCACAUCGACGGGGAGGUUUGGCACCUCGAUGUCGGCUCAUCGCAUCCUGGGGCGGUAGUACGUCCCAAGGGUUGGGCUGUUCGCCCAUGAAAGCGGUACGCGAGCUGGGUUCAGAACGUCGUGAGACAGUUCGGUCCAUAUCCGGUGUAGGCGUUAGAAUAUUGAGAGGAGCCUUCUUUAGUACGAGAGGACCGAGAAGGACAUACCUCUGGUGUACCAGUUAUCGUGCCAACGGUAAACGCUGGGUAGCUAUGUAUGGAGUGGAUAACCGCUGAAAGCAUCUAAGUGGGAAGCCCACCUCAAGAUGAGUACUCUCACCAUAUUGGUUAAGGUCACGGGAAGAACACCCGUUGAUAGGCAUCAGGUGGAAGUGCAGUAAUGUAUGAAGCCGAA